UCCUACGGGGGGCAGCAGUCGGGAAUAUUGCGCAAUGGAGGAAACUCUGACGCAGUGACGCCGCGUAUGGGAAGAAGGUUUUCGGAUUGUAAACCAUUGUCGUUAGGGAAGAAGAAGUGACAGUACCUAAGGAGGAAGCUCCGGCUAACUAUGUGCCAGCAGCCGCGGUAAUACAUAGGGAGCGAGCGUUAUCCGGAUUUAUUGGGUGUAAAGGGUGCGUAGACGGGAAUACAAGUUGGUUGUGAAAUCCCUCGGCUUAACUGAGGAACUGCAACCAAAACUAUAUUUCUUGAGUAUCGGAGAGG
rnacentral:rRNA from 1 species